UACGAGGGGGGCGAGCGUUGUUCGGAAUUAUUGGGCGUAAAGGGUGCGUAGGCGGCCUGACAAGUCUGAUGUGAAAUCCCUGGGCUCAACCCAGGGCCUGCAUCGGAAACUGUCGGGCUUGAGUAUGGGAGAGAUGAGUGGAAUUUCCGGUGUAGCGGGUGAAAUGCGUAGAUAUCGGAAGGAACACCUGUGGCGAAAGCGGCUCACCUGGACCAUUACUGACGCUGAGGCACGAAAGCUAGGGG
rnacentral:rRNA from 1 species